GAAGCCCCGGCGUUGAACAGCUGCAGCUCGUAUCAAGUCCGUAUUUUAUAUUUUAAACUGCUAGCUACACACCUAUGCUUAAAUCCAAACGGACUAAACCAAGUGGAAACGCUUUGGUAGAUGCCACGUGCAAAGUCAUGCCACCAUCAAUGGGAAUGGCACAUUGGACACGUGGCUUUCAACUCCAGCGAGGUGGCGGCACGGAUCUCUGCAUGUCUGACUGACAUCUCCCAGUGGAUGUCCGCCCAUCACCUGAAGAUCAACCCCGACAAGACUGAACUACUUUUCUUCCCUGGAAAAAACUCGCCCACUCAGGACCUGACCGUUAACUUUGGCGAACACCGUUAACAUCAGGAGAAUACCACCCCUUCUCACUCAGAAGGCGGCGCAGGUACUGAUUCAGGCUCUUGUCAUCUCUCGCCUCGACUACUGUAACUCUCUGCUGGCAGGUCUCCCUGCUACCGCCAUUCGACCACUGCAGCUCAUCCAGAAUGCAGCAGCUCGACUGGUCUUCAACCUUCUGAAAUACUCCCACACCGCUUCUCCCUUCACUUCAUUGGUUACC